rnacentral:rRNA from 1 species
UAGCGGAGGAAAAGAAACCAACAGGGAUUGCCUCAGUAACGGCGAGUGAAGCGGCAAAAGCUCAAAUUUGAAAUCCCCCCGGGGAGUUGUAAUUUGAAGAUUGCGUCUUGGAGGCGACCGUGUCUAUGUUCCUUGGAACAGGACGUCACAGAGGGUGAGAAUCCCGUGCGGCACGGCCCCCGGCUCCUUAUAAGGCGCUCUCGACGAGUCGAGUUGUUUGGGAAUGCAGCUCAAAGUGGGUGGUAAAUUCCAUCUAAAGCUAAAUACAGGCGAGAGACCGAUAGCGAACAAGUACAGUGAUGGAAAGAUGAAAAGCACUUUGAAAAGAGAGUGAAACAGCACGUGAAAUUGUUGAAAGGGAAGGGCAUGCCGUCAGAUUGUCAGUGUGGGUAAGAAGCGGGGUACAAAGACUGUGGAACGUGGCCCUCGGGUGUUAUAGCCGCAGUUCAUGCCCCGUCUCUUUCCGAGGCCUGCUUUGAGGACACCGACGUAAUGACGGUACGCCGCCCGUCUUGAGCCACGGACCAAA